AUUGAACGCUGGCGGCAGGCUUAAAACAUGCAAGUCGAACGAGUGGCGGACGGGUGAGUAAUGCAUGGGAAUCAAUCUGAUGGAGGGGGAUAACUACGUGCAACUGUAGCUAAUACCGCGCACCCUAGGAUGAGCCCAUGUGGGAUUAGGUAGUUGGUUAGGUAAAGGCUUACCAAGGCGACGAUCUCUAGCUGGUCUGAGAGGACGACCAGCCACACUUGGACUGAGACACGGUCCAGACUCCUACGGGAGGCAGCAGUGGGGAAUAUUGCGAAAGGGGCGGAACCUAACGCAUCCAUGCCGCGUGAAUGAAGAAUGCCUUCGGGUUGUAAAGUUCUUUCUGUGUCGAGGCGUUAACUGCAGAAUAAGCACCGGCUAACUCCGUGCCAGCAGCCGCGGUAAUUC
rnacentral:rRNA from 1 species